rnacentral:rRNA from 1 species
UGCCACGCCCGCUCAGAAACUCAAAGGAAUUGACGGGGGCCCGCACAAGCGGUGGAGUAUGUGGUUUAAUUCGAUGCAACGCGAAGAACCUUACCUGGUCUUGACAUCCCGGAGACCCUUAGGAAACUAGGGGGUGCUUCCAUCUGGAAGAAUCUGGAGACAGGUGCUGCAUGGCUGUCGUCAGCUCGUGUCGUGAGAUGUUGGGUUAAGUCCCGCAACGAGCGCAACCCUUGCCUUUAGUUGCCAGCAGUUCGGCUGGGCACUCUAAAGGGACUGCCGGUGUUAAACCGGAGGAAGGUGGGGAUGACGUCAAGUCCUCAUGGCCUUUAUGACCAGGGCUACACACGUACUACAAUGGCCGAUACAAAGGGCAGCGACACUGCGAGGUGAAGCCAAUCCCGUAAAAUCGGUCUCAGUCCGGAUUGGAGUCUGCAACUCGACUCCAUGAAGUUGGAAUCGCUAGUAAUCGUGGAUCAGCAUGCCACGGUGAAUACGUUCCCGGGCCUU